ACGCUGAUAGGAUAGUUGGCUAACAACCCGCCCGGAAGGCUGGAAGUGCGGGUUCGAGUCCCGCUUGGCGCG
rnacentral:tRNA from 1 species